rnacentral:rRNA from 1 species
UACGAGGGGGGCAAGCGUUGUUCGGAAUUAUUGGGCGUAAAGAGCGUGUAGGCGGCCAUACAGGUCAGCUGUGAAAACUCGAGGCUCAACCUCGAGACGUCGGUUGAAACCGUAUGGCUAGAGUCCGGAAGAGGAGAGUGGAAUUCCCGGUGUAGCGGUGAAAUGCGCAGAUAUCGGGAAGAACACCCGUGGCGAAGGCGGCUCUUUGGUCUGUAACUGACGCUGAGGCGCGACAGCGUGGGGAGCAAACAGG